CACUGUACUGCUGCUUAACCCAAGUGCACUUGAGUUAGAGCUCAUGAACUGAUGGCUGGAUGUUCCUCAGGAUUUUCUGAUCUGGUGAUCAGGCCCCGGAUGUGAAUUGAAAGACUGCCACAUGGGGGUGGGAGGACAGGUAUUUUCUCCCCACACUAAGAGAUAUGGUCCGUGAGACAAAAUGUGUCCUGUGAUAUGGAUGAAGUCCUGUGGCCUGACCCAGUACAGAGACAUGAUGUUGUGGCUGAGGAAUGCACUUAUUUGUAUAUUUUUGUACUUUAUUUUUACAUGGGCUUACUGUACACAAGUGCUAUGUGUAAAUGCACAAGAUUUCUGUUUUGUCUUUUUGUACAAGUGCUAAAUGCACAGGGGGUUUUUUGUUUUGCAACAUGCAUUUAGCCUACAGUGAACAAUAAACAUUUAUUUCUCCAGCUUGAUGUCCUGAGCAUUGUGUUUUCUAUUUUUCUACGUAGUGUUUAGUGACUGUUCCGUAGUGAUUUUAAUUUUGAUUGACUCGGGGCAUGAUUUGACAACAUAGUUCAGUUUUGAGCACAGAUUCAACUGUUUUGAGGUGAAAGUUUGGUUUUGCAAGAAAGAAGUUUUGUGAAUGUAGCUUGAGAAUUGGGUUUUGUGUUCAAGGUUUAGAGAAAAGAAGAGCAGCUUCCAAGAAAUGUGUCUUAGCAAUCGAGAAAAACUGUAAUUAUAGUCCAAAUCCUCAAAGCUUCUGUUCUUACUCCAGAAUUUCAUG